rnacentral:rRNA from 1 species
AACUAACGCUGGCGGCGUGCCUAACACAUGCAAGUCGAACGAGAAAGCCGCAAGGUGAGUAAAGUGGCGGACGGGUGCGUAACACGUGGGUAAUCUACCUUUUGGCCUGGGAUAACGUCUCGAAAGGGACGCUAAUACCGGAUAAGACCACAGCUCUGAGGAGUGGUGGGAAAAGGCGCUCGUAAGGGUGUCACCGAUUGAUGAGCCCGCGGCCUAUCAGCUUGUUGGCGGGGUAACGGCCCACCAAGGCUACGACGGGUAACUGGUCUGAGAGGACGACCAGUCACACUGGAACUGAGACACGGUCCAGACUCCUGCGGGAGGGCAGCAGUGGGGAAGUAUUGCGCAAUGGGCGAAAGCCUGACGCAGCAACGCCGCGUGGGUGAUGAAGGCCU